GGGAGUGUGGUCUAAAUAGCGAGGAUACUCGGCUAACAUCCGAGAGGAUGAAGGUGCAAAUCCUUCCACUCCUA
rnacentral:tRNA from 1 species